UGCCCAGCAACUCCUAUCCCUACCUCCUCGCGGUACUGGCCGGGGUACGAGUAACCUUAGGGAAGAUCAGGUAACCAACCCCCGGUGGGAACUUUGGUCGUAUGCUGACAGGGAAGG
rnacentral:ribozyme from 1 species